AGUAACGCGUGGGUAACCUGCCUCAUACAGGGGGAUAACAGUUAGAAAUGACUGCUAAUACCGCAUAAGCGCACAGGACCGCAUGGUCAAGUGUGAAAAACUGAGGUGGUAUGAGAUGGACCCGCGUCUGAUUAGCUAGUUGGUGAGGUAAGGGCUCACCAAGGCAACGAUCAGUAGCCGACCUGAGAGGGUGACCGGCCACAUUGGGACUGAGACACGGCCCAA
rnacentral:rRNA from 1 species